rnacentral:lncRNA from 1 species
UUAUUUCUAAUCGAAUUUAACAUAAAAAAGAAAAAAAAACUUAACUCAAGUCAAUAUUUUAAUUUUAAUGGGAUGAAUAUUAAGUUUGUCAAAAUAAUAUCCUUCCAACCGACAUGUAAAAGUUAUACAAUACAUGAGACAAAUAGUUUUGUACUCACUAACCGACAUCAUCUCGAUCUGUAAAUAAAUAAGAUAUUCAAGUCAGACGCAUUUACAUAAAGUC